GAGAUUACUGUUCAUCCAACAAAAAAAGAGGGAGAAAAUUUAUUGGGUAUUUUCCAGUUGCCGAUGGCAAGGUUCCUUGUUCACCUUUCUUGGCCAAAAGCUUCCGACGAGAAUCAACAGACCUUCAAUCGAAGAUCCCAUGAAAAAUCACCAAAGCUUUUUCUAUACCUCCAGAUCGAGCCCACCAUCAAUUCUCCACACUCAUUUCAGAUCGUGAAACACAUAAACCAGCAACAAAGCUUUUUCUCUUGACCAUCGAUUCCCCAUCUAAGAAGGGAAUCCCAAAAUCCAACCGCUUCUUCUAGAAAUUGGGCACGAUCCAGUUAGCGUUCGGAAACCUCAUGGUCAGCCCUAGCCUCCUCUGUCCGGAUCGCCGCCCCUCCGUAGCCAGCGGGUCGCCGAUUCUCUGCAGCCAUUGGAUCGCUGCUCCUCUACAGCCAAGGGACCGCGCGCCGCAGCCACACAGGAGCCCCGUGUCGUCGUCG
rnacentral:lncRNA from 1 species